rnacentral:rRNA from 1 species
AGACUUUGAUUCUGGCUCAGAUUGAACGCUGGCGGCAGGCCUAACACAUGCAAGUCGAGCGGCAGCGGGUCCUUCGGGAUGCCGGCGAGCGGCGGACGGGUGAGUAAUGCCUAGGAAUCUGCCUGGUAGUGGGGGAUAACUCGGGGAAACUCGAGCUAAUACCGCAUACGUCCUACGGGAGAAAGCGGGGGAUCUUCGGACCUCGCGCUACCAGAUGAGCCUAGGUCGGAUUAGCUAGUUGGUGAGGUAAAGGCUCACCAAGGCGACGAUCCGUAGCUGGUCUGAGAGGAUGAUCAGCCACACUGGAACUGAGACACGGUCCAGACUCCUACGGGAGGCAGCAGUGGGGAAUAUUGGACAAUGGGCGAAAGCCUGAUCCAGCCAUGCCGCGUGUGUGAAGAAGGUCUUCGGAUUGUAAAGCACUUUAAGUUGGGAGGAAGGGCAGUAAGUUAAUACCUUGCUGUUUUGACGUUACCGACAGAAUAAGCACCGGCUAACUUUCGUGCCAGCAGCCGCGGUAAUACGAAGGGUGCAAGCGUUAAUCGGAAUUACUGGGCGUAAAGCGCGCGUAGGUGG